rnacentral:lncRNA from 1 species
CUGUGAAUCCGGUAACGAUUGUUGGGAUUCCGCAACGGAAGCAUCAAAUCAGAUUUUUACCAUAAAUCCGUCUCUUCAGCAAAAGCUGAUACAAUCAUAAAAGAGAAAAAAACCAAAACAGAAAAUAUGCGGGUAAAAUAAGAUUCAUUAAAUAAGAGAAGAUUAUACCUGACUCCUCUUCUGCAAAAGAAUAGCUACAAUCCGAGCCCUCUUUCUGAAUCUCUUCUAUCAUUUUCUCGUUUUAUAAAUCUAAAAGACAACUCUCUUUCUUCUCACAUGCACUCGUGCACUAGGUGCAUGCAACCGGCCAACUCUCUUUCUCUGGUACCAUCCACCAAAGGGACUUUUUUCGAAAAUAACCCUCUGAAAUUUUAUAAUUGGCAAAAUAACCCUCUGAAAAUUUUAUUUGUGAAACUAACCCUCCUCUCGCCACCUCAGCCGCCACCUCAGCAUUUCUCAUAAAGACGGUGACUCGUUCACCGUCUCCUGAAGACAGUAAAUCGGUAAAUCGUUAACCGUCUUCUCAGGCGUGGACCCCUCGCCUUCUCAGCAAUUCCCCGCGUAUCAGCGCCUACGUAGCAAUUCAACAGAAGGCGGUGACUCGUUUACCGUCUUAACAAAGACGGUGAAUCGUCCACCGCCUUACCUAGGCGUACACCAUUCGCCGCAUUCGCCGCCUUCUCAGUGUUGCCACCCCUCGCCUUCUCAGCAAUUCCCCGCGUAUCAGCGCCUACGCAGCAAUUCAACAGAAGACGGUGACUCGUUUACCGUCUUAACAAAGACGGUGAAUCGUCCACCGCCUUAUCUAGGCGUACACCAUUCGCCGCAUUCGCCGCCUUCUCAGUGUUGCCCCCGCCCAAAUAAGACGGUUACUCGUUCACCGUGUUUACUGAAUCUUGAAGCCGGUAAGUUGUUCACC